GGUGGGGGAAGGACAGACUCCUUUGUGUAGUGUCAUCUCUUGGUGGCAGGUGUGGUAACGGCUGUUCUUCAGUGGGCUCACUGUAGUGGGUGCCUGGUACUAUUUCGGGAAUUCCACUAGAAAGACUUGUCAACCAGUCUGGCUCAGCUGUAAGACAUGCUGCUAGGUGUGGCCUUCAUCACUCCAGAGUCUUACUGUGGAACCUCUAUUGGCCUUGAAUUUGUUAGGGAGCAUGGGUUGGGUUCAAACUCACAAUUCUGUCCUCGUUUCCUUCGUAUCUUGUCUUUAAGAGAACAGAGUGACUAGAGAAAUGGCUUAGUGGUUAAGAACACUAAAAGCUGUGGGAGCCAGGUCCAUGAUGAUGCAAAGCUAUCUGUGCCUGAAGGCCUUUCUGUGUGAGUGGGUGCCUGGCACACUCUGCGUGAGUUAACCUCGUGUGUUUCCUUACCUACAGGGGGAGGCUGAACCGUAGUUUCUAGGCCUUCAAGGGGUGUUGCUGCAGCCACGGGGGCAGCCCUCCUGCGCCUGGACUUAUGCCUGCGAGCAGAGGAGCUUCCGCACAUAGCUCGUCAGAGCAUCCAUGCAUCUGCACUAAGUGCAGGCAAGUUUCAGCGGGGUUUUGUUUCUUUGCGAGGAUGUGUGGCUCCCUUGUGACAGAUGAAGCAGUUGUUACCGGUUGAGCUAAGGAUGAUCUAAGUUAUCCCUGUCUGAAAUGACACUUCAGUGAAGAGUCACGGUUUACUGAGGCUCAACUUUUAAGACUUGUUUUGAGAGUGACCACGUUAGGUAGCUUCUGUUAGAAUGAAGUGUGUUGUCUUUAUUACUCCUUCAGAUUCCAGGACGGCUCCAGGGGGGCAUCAUCGAAAGGCGUGGCACAUCAGGGCCUUCGGGAUGGCUGCGUCCUGGUUAUUGCCCUGUGGUGCCAGAGAGAACCACACAGCCUGCUGCUGCUCCUGCCUUUAAUUUCCCAAAGAGCCAUCAAAAGACCUUGGACUUUGUUCUGCAAGAGGAGCUAGCAAAAUGGAGUGACUGUGGUCACCCUGGAAGCCUUUGACAGCUGGGGAGGCCCUGCUGAGCUUAGAAAACCAUCUGAUAGAUUUCCUGAGUAAGGAUUGGGCUUUGUAUUUUGAAGCACAAAUAAACUUGAUAAAAUUAAACUUGG